GAUGAACGCUGGCGGCGUGUCUAAUACAUGCAAGUCGAGCGAACAGACGAGGAGCUUGCUCCUCUGACGUUAGCGGCGGACGGGUGAGUAACACGUGGAUAACCUACCUAUAAGACUGGGAUAACUUCGGGAAACCGGAGCUAAUACCGGAUAACAUGUUGAACCGCAUGGUUCAACAGUGAAAGACGGUCUUGCUGUCACUUAUAGAUGGAUCCGCGCCGCAUUAGCUAGUUGGUAAGGUAACGGCUUACCAAGGCAACGAUGCGUAGCCGACCUGAGAGGGUGAUCGGCCACACUGGAACUGAGACACGGUCCAGACUCCUACGGGAGGCAGCAGUAGGGAAUCUUCCGCAAUGGGCGAAAGCCUGACGGAGCAACGCCGCGUGAGUGAUGAAGGUCUUCGGAUCGUAAAACUCUGUUAUUAGGGAAGAACAAAUGUGUAAGUAACUAUGCACGUCUUGACGGUACCUAAUCAGAAAGCCACGGCUAACUACGUG
rnacentral:rRNA from 1 species